AUUGAACGCUAGCGGCAGGCCUUACACAUGCAAGUCGAACGGGUGGCGGACGGGUGAGUAAUAUAUCGGACCGUGCCCGGUAGCUAGGGUUCACUACUCGAAAGUGUGGCUAAUACCGCACACUAUUGGAUAGGCCGAUAUCGGAGUAGCUAGGUGGUGGGGUAAAGGACCACCAAGGCAACGAUCCGUAGCUGGUGUGAGAGGAUGACCAGCCACACUGGGACGGAGACACGGUCCAGACUCCGAGGGGAGGCAGCAGUGGGGAAGUUUGGACAAUGGGGGAAACCCUGAUCCAGCCAUCCCGCGUGGAUGAGAAGGCCUUCGGGUUGUAAAGUACGUUUAGUUGGGAAGCGUUACCAGCAGAAUAAGCACCGGCUAACUGCGUGCCAGCAGCCGCGGUAAUUC
rnacentral:rRNA from 1 species